GAUGAAGAACGCAGUGAAAUGCGAUACUUGGUGUGAAUUGCAGAAUCCCGUGAACCAUCGAGUUUUUGAACGCAAGUUGCGCCCGAAGCCGUUAGGCCGAGGGCACGCCUGCCUGGGUGUCACACAUCGUUGCCCCAAUGCCAAUCGCCUCACUUUGUAGGUAUUUGCUUGGGGUGAAUGUUGGCCUCCCGUGAGCUUUGUCUCACGGUUGGUUGAAAAUCGAGUCCUUGGUAGGGUGUGCCAUGGUAGAUGGUGGUCGAGUUAGAACGAUACCGAUCAUGUGCAUGCUCCCCAAAAUAUGGCCUCUAUGACCCACACGCGUCUUUUGACGCUCAUGACGAGACCUCAGGUCAGGCGGGGCUACCCGCUGAAUUUAAGCAUAUCAAUAAGCGGAGGA
rnacentral:misc_RNA from 1 species